GCAGUCGAAGCACCUUAAGAGUGCGACGGCGUGCCUAUUGAAGAAUGAACCGGCGAGUUACAUUAUGUUGCGAGGUUAAGUGGGAGACACGGAGCCGAAGCGAAAGCGAGUCUUAAUAGGGCGACUAGUAACAUGGUGUAGACCCGAAACCGCAGUGAUCUAUCCAUGGUCAGGUUGAAGCGCAGGUAAAAAUGCGUGGAGGACCGAACCCGUGAGUGUUGAAAAACUUUGGGAUGAACCGUGGAUAGGGGUGAAAUGCCAAUCGAACGCGGAGAUAGCUGGUACUCCCCGAAAUAGCUUUAGGGCUAGCCUCAGGGAAGAUUAUAGACGGUAGAGCACUGAUCUGGCAAGGGGGCGUAAAGCCUACCGACCCUAGUCAAACUUCGAAUGGCUAUAAUUAAGACCCUGGGAGUCAGACUGCGAGUGAUAAGACCCGUAGUCAAGAGGGAAACAGCCCAGACCGCCGACUAAGGUCCCCAAUGCUGUACUAAGUGGAAAAGGAUGUAAGACUUCAUAAACAACCAGGAUGUUGGCUUAGAAGCAGCCACCAUUAAAAGAGUGCGUAAUAGCUCACUGGUCGAGAGGCCUUGCGCCGAAGAUGUCCGGGGCUCAAGUACAGAACCGAAGUCGCGGCAGGAUUAUAUAAUUCUGGGUAGGGGAGCGUUGUAUAUCCGACUGAAGGUGUACCGGAAGGAGCGCUGGAGGAUAUACAAGAGAGAAUGCCGGUAUGAGUAGCGAAAAGAACAGUGAGAAUCUGUUCCACCGAAAGCCUAAGGUUUCCUGAGCAACGCUCGUCGACUCAGGGUAAGUCGGGACCUAAGCCGAGGCAAAAAGCAUAGGCGAUGGACAACAGGUUAAUAUUCCUGUACCGCUUCAAAUCGUUUGAGCAAUGGAGUGACACAGAAGGUAGCUUGAGCACGCGAAUGGAUGUGCGUGUCGAAGGUGGUAGGUUGCAGUAUAGGCAAAUCCGUACUGUAUAAGACCGAGAACUGAUAGAUAGACGAUAUUUCGGUAGAGUCAAAUUCAAGUGAGCCAUGCUGUCGAGAAAAGCUUCUAGUGAGAGAUGAGGCGCCCGUACCGAAACCGACACAGGUAGGCGGGGAGAGAAUCCUAAGGUGCGCGGGACAACCCUCGUUAAGGAACUCGGCAAAUUGUAUCCGUAACUUAGGGAUAAGGAUAGCCGGAGGAUGUGAAGGGAUUUACUUCUGGAGCGUCAGCCGGUGGCACAAGAGAGGCCCAAGCGACUGUUUAGCACAAACACAGGUGCCUGCAAAAGAGAAAUCUGACGUAUAGGUGCUGACACCUGCCCGGUGCUGGAAGGUUAAGAGGAGGGCUUAGAGGAAACUCGAAGGCUUGAAUUGAAGCCCCAGUAAACGGCGGCCGUAACUAUAACGGUCCUAAGGUAGCGAAAUUCCUUGUCGGGUAAGUUC
rnacentral:rRNA from 1 species